rnacentral:rRNA from 1 species
UCGAACGGUAGCAGGAAGAAGCUUGCUGCUUUGCUGACGAGUGGCGGAGGGGUGAGUAAUGUCUGGGAAACUGCCUGAUGGAGGGGGAUAACUACUGGAAACGGUGGCUAAUACCGCAUAACGUCGCAAGACCAAAGAGGGGGACCUUCGGGCCUCUUGCCAUCAGAUGUGCCCAGAUGGGAUUAGCUUGUUGGUGAGGUAACGGCUCACCAAGGCGACGAUCCCUAGCUGGUCUGAGAGGAUGACCAGCCACACUGGAACUGAGACACGGUCCAGACUCCUACGGGAGGCAGCAGUGGGGAAUAUUGCACAAUGGGCGCAAGCCUGAUGCAGCCAUGCCGCGUGUAUGAAGAAGGCCUUCGGGUUGUAAAGUACUUUCAGCGGGGAGGAAGGUGUUGUGG